rnacentral:tRNA from 1 species
GCCGGCGUGGCGGAAUUGGCAGACGCGGCUGUCUCAAGAACAGCUUUGCUGUGGGUUCGACUCCCACCGCCGGUACCA